rnacentral:piRNA from 1 species
UAAUUGAAUUGGAAAUCGGCG